CCACAGAAAUAAAAAAAUACCGCAGCUGGCAAAAAAAAGAAAAGAAAUAAAUCCCAUCUUACAGACAAUUGAUCGCGGUGUUUUAGGGCCAGAUUAUCUGAGAUACCGAUCUCAAAUAUGUUACCAAAAAUGCUUUUUAGUUUUGCUACUAACUAAAAGUUGUAACUGCAUCUGAUAAGAAGAGAAACCCGGUCAGCUAAAUCAGUGAGAGAAACACGAGCUAAACAUUAAACAUUCGCUGCAUCCUUGGAUAUGAAUGAAGAUCUCGUACCGUAUACUGUACUGUAAAAAACACAAACAAACCAACAAAAAUAACCUUCUCAAUCGGCACCACAAGCAAAAAGAGAAGUUCAUAUGUUCUUUUUAAGAAACCAACGGAAAUCCCCACGUCAAGAUAGAGAAGAAAAUAGGACGAGAACAAAAGCAUUGCAGAGGCAAAACAGAGCAUUGUUAUUUUAUGCAAAUGAUCAGGAUCGAAUGAAAGGCAACAAAUAAAGGCAUAUUUAGAGGGAAAUCGGAAGACAUUUGAAAACAAAAACUUGAAAUUGAAAAUAAAAGUUCACGAUGGCAAUUAAGAGAAGAGAAGAAAAGAAAAGGUUUUGGUUUUAGUUAGAUCUACAUACAAUUUAAAGCAAUUUAUAAAAUGCAAAAAAAAAAUGGCAAUGUCAUUCAUGUCGAUAUUUUAAAAAAAACAAUUGAAAAGACCGCCUCUUGACGUCAGAGACCCGCAGACGCAUGAAGCCGCGCGCAGGGGACAGAAGAAGUGCAAAACACAGGUAAGAAAUGAACUGUCUGGCUUUCUAAAACCUCAACGGCUUGUUUAAACAAACUAUUACAUUAGUAUGUGGUCCAUAAUAUUUGGCAUGCACGCUAUAAAACUUUUCGACGUUCUUUGUAAUAGCAGGUAAAAGUUUUUUUGGGGAGUUGUGUAAACUCUGAAACGAUUCGCAUGCUUUUAACUGCAUUCUUUGAAACGUAGCCUAUUGUUUGCUAAUGGCUAUUUUGAGCUGCUAAUAUUAAAGUAUGUAUUAUUAGCAUUUUUGUAGGCUACUUUAAUAUUUUUGUACUUUUCACACACACACACACACACACACACACAUAUGAGUAGCUUACCUAAAAGUAAUAUUUGACACUGUCACUUGUGGAAUAAAUAAUUUUUUAUUUAUUUUUUAAGAAAAGGUUGAUUUAUCACUGGUUUAUCGGCUAUAACAAGUACAGUUGGAUUUUUGGAGAGACAGAAUGCUAAUAACAUGUACAUGCCUGUUAAUCAAAGGGGAAAAAAUAUUUUAGAAAGUUUUGAAUAAGUGUUACUCAAUAAUCUUAGCUUUUUUAAUCGUAACAGAUGUUAAUUGACCAAUGUGAGCUUAUGUAAAGCGUCUUUUUUCCUCUUUCUUUUGCUGACUGCAGAUGAAGUCUUCUUUGUGCCCCUAAAUCAAGAAGGAACAACCUUUUUUAAUACGACCUUCUUCAAACUUAAAAUAUCAGAAGGUCUUUGAGUCUGAGAGACUGAUCUUAGGUUUGGGCAAUGGACCAGAGAAGACAGGUACCCUGGAGCCAAGUGGUGCGGUUCAAUAUAGACUUUUAUUACGUUUAUUAAGAGGCCAAUGAAUAUUUAUAGUAUCAAGCAAUACAGAUAAGGCGAGAUUCCAAUGAUGUCUCAAGUUGCGAUUGAGUAAUGUCUAUGUCUCCAACACAGUCUCACGACCAAUUCAUAGGUGUUUUACGAGGUGGCUAAUUCGUACGAAGAUCAGCCUGAUGUCUCAAAGACUGCAGAGCACACAGGCCACAGACGGCACGUUUGCACAGAAUGUUCUUUUAAAUCUCACAACGGUAACUUCAAGACAGUCGCAUUGAAGGAAUUUCCCUUGCGGCAAUUUUGAGUGACUCAGUAGAGCGGUAUGCGGUAUCACCGCACAUAUUGUUAGCCUAUGCAUAUAUAUAUAUAUUGUUUCUCUGAUCACAAAUGCAGACAUAUGUUUACGUUAACGAUAAUCAGUUAUUUCUCCUCUGGAUGCAAACAAAUUUGUAAUGUCGGGACAUGGCAUCACUUUAUGGUAGGGGGCGUAACAUCUCCAUCAAACGCUUGAGGUUUUCGGCCAAUCACGAUGCACUGGAUAGCUGGCCAAUCAGAAGACACCUCGCUUUUUUUUUCGAACGAUGAGCUUUGUAUAAAUCAUCCCGUUUCGGAAGGCGGGGCUUAGAGCAGAAACAAUAAUAUAUUAUGUGGAGAAUAUUGUGGUUUUUGUACCAGUUACGCAGCUUGAGCCGAAUUGUAAUCUAAGGCAAGUUGUGGGCUAAUGGAUGGGGAAUUGGACCCUUUACCCAAACGUCAAGGGUUCGAGGCCCAAGUCAUGAAAUACUUGCGUGUACACAGAAUUGAAUUAAUAAUAUUCUUGAGGCACGACUGGGGCUAAUGGCGUUAUUAAUUAAUUUAUAGCCCUUAAAUACUGGGUCAUGCGCCAUGUUUUUCCGCCUGCCUUAACCACAGGAAUAAUAGGCUCAUUGUAAGGCGAGGUUAUUGUACGAAGACACCAUGAUCAAUUAAUGGCUUUAUGCCAAGUUCCUUAUCUUUAGACAAAGGGUAUUAUUUCAUUAGACUGGUUUAUUAGCCUUUAAUUUAGCUUCCUAUGAAACCUGUGUUGUCUUUAUAUUGCGACCAUAGUGAUGGAUCGACCAUAGCCUCCACCGUUUGCGGUAUUGGUUUGGGUGUGGUUCACUGUGUUUUUCCCAUGUUUGUCUCGAGCUAAGAGAGAAUGAUAAAGUGUAGCAUUCAGUACUUCUCAUGUGCAUCAGGUUUACCAGGACUCGGGAGCUAGACCUUUUAGCCUUGUUCAGAUAUCUGUUCGUAUCCGGUUGGAAUCUGAUUGAAAUGAUUGGCCGUUCCACACUCUAUAAUGCAUUUGCUCAGAUCCGAUUUGUUCGGCAGUGGCCGGGAUCUACAAGAAAGAAAGGUUAAAUUCCUGUGAUGCCAUUCAGAGUUGCUUCACUUCACAAAGACCCACCCCCAACCUCAUCACAAGCCUCCAAGUCUCCGUUUUCUACAGCUGUCAGAGAGCUGCCAUGACAGAAUGAGUUCUUAUCAACUGUCCUGUCAAAUGAAACUAAACAUUGACACAACGUUUAGCUUGCCACCUUGCUAACUUUCCCCAUGGCUGUUCCGUGGGUGAGCCGGUUUGGUGUCGAGCUGGUUUGAUUUCCUGAAAAAUGAAGAAGCAGGUUUUCCAGUGCAUUUUGUACGGCAUGCGAAGAAGCUGUAGGAGAUCGGUGUUCUGCAGCAACUUCAGCUCUGCAGCGUAACUCGAGGCUUGGUGUUCUUUCUAUGCUUGGUGUACUUCACAUACUGAGCCAGGGCAUGAUCUUUUCACGCACUCGGGAUUCACUGAGCAGCAACAGAGAGGACCGUUGCUGUUUUAUUGACAUCUCUUAUAUUGUCAUUCGCCGGUUCUUCUUCAGAGGCAACCUGGAUCGAAAAUGCAAAGGAGCGCAGAAAUGCAUCAGUCCACAGCUGCCUGCAGAACUCGAGCCAUUCGUAAGGAAUCUGUCACCUGUCAUUUAUUUAAUCUUCAUUCAUACAGCAGCGUCGCACAGAUGCCGGUGCUACAAACAUCAGUUUGCAUACAAAUACAGGUCAAGCCAUGUCCUGAUAUAAAUCUACAAGCACGCCAGAGUGGUUGUUUUCUGCACCUGAAAGCAACGGAUGAUGAAAGUGGCCAGAAACAAAGAACUUGACACCUGUAGUGCCUGACUGAAUAUGACAUCUUACUUCAGAGCUUUCAUGUCUACGUAUGCUGGCUUACUUAAACGCUUAGUCAUCACAUCUAAUAUGCCCUUUUCGCAUAGUGCACAUGUUUGUGGAAAAUGUCACAAGGUUGAGCCAGAGGUUUAACGAUAAUUCAACCAUGGCAGAACCUACUCGUAAAUAUUCAUACUUGUGACAGAAUAUUCUGUCUGGAUUUUAUCAAAUGAAUAAAAACAAUUCUCGUGUCUUUUUUUAAACCGUGAGCCAAAGUCAGUUCACUCACGCAUAUCGUUGCUCUUAUUCUGGGACUUUGCCCCGUUGCCAUUGGAAACAGAGCCACACCUCUAGCCCCGUGAAUGGGUUAAGUCACGUGUCAGGACCAACUCUCUUUGUUUCAGAAGUGGUGAACGAACAGGGGAGAGUGAAAAGAAAACAUGGUGCACAAACUCCUCCACGCCAGUCACAGGGCAACUGGUAAAGCUGCAGCUUCUCAUAAACUGACAUUUAUUUAUUUGCAUUUAACCACUCACCUAGAGAUAUUCACAUUUUCAAAAUCCUCAAAGGUGUUCAAUGCUGUCUGAGACUUUAGGACCCUAUUGGAUUUCUAAAAAGUGAAAAGCAUUUUGGAAAGCUAUUUAUCUCUCACCCGGUAGUGGGAAAGCAACAAUCGCCUGGGGUGAACGCAUGUUACUAUCUCAUAGUUCACUGCACCAAAAAAGGUAAGGGGCCCUGAGACAGCCGUCGGGGUCGACGAGGAGGGGUGGUCAGUCUCUGUUAGAUGAGAUUGUCAAUGACAAAAGGUUUCACUAACACAUAGUGACUGAUGAAUGGAAAGAAUGUUAAACCCUUCAGAGACGGAGUGACAGUCUUAGCCUAUAUACACCCUCGGGGGAGCGAGAACACAGCUGUGGUCAACACCUGAUGCCGGUCCUAAAACAUACAAUACGCUAACAUUUUUUGUAUUAAAUAAUAUUUUUCCCUUUAAAAACGAUUUAAUGUUUUUGCAAACAUUACUCUAAAUAUUUCCAGAUUUGCAUUUCGUUUCCAAGUCAACGGUGGCUACAGUGCUGGGUAAUAAUACUAUGGUAAACUAUAGCUUUGCAUAUGAAUAUAAUUACAUGGCAGCACUACAUAUGCCCUGAUGGUAUCUCCAAAGUGGAAAUGCAGUAUUAAACAAGCACAUAUCUCGUUUAGAUUCUUAUUUCAGUACGUUGCAGAAAAAUUCUAUAUCGCAAAAUACAUGAAAUGCUGUUAUUUCGUAUCAGUCUCUUGCACACAACAGUAAGCCCAUGUCUGCAGAGGCGAGACAUCUGCCCCAUUGCGGUGGGAUUUGAUGGGGCUGGGGGCGUAGCUCAAUGCACCAAACCCAGAUGAAACAUGCGGAUGGCUGUUUGCUCCCCAUCACAUGGAAUACCCUGGGAUUGAAUGCAUAAUUUACAUUUACACUGGUGCUCGGAGCCUCACGUUAGGGAGUGGUAUUCGGCUCUUACGCAAUGCAACUGCAUGCUGGAAUCGUAUUAGAAGUUAAUGAACCCUGCAGGAAGCAAAUCAUAAGAUUAUGACUGAACGUGAAGGAGAGACGCAUCACGCCAAGCAUACAGUCCGGGGACGUAAUUUCAUGACGAUUAACGCAUAAUUCUGGACUGUGAGAAACAAAGACGCGUUUUCACAGCAGGUAGAGACCGUCUCCGCCAGUGCCCUCGUUUAUCUCAAGUCGAGCCUUUAUUCAACUCACUCGGUCUGCUCCACUUGAAGAUAACGACGGCAAACAGACGCGACGAUAACUCGUCCUGAAACCCGAGACAACUUUAUCGCGUCAGACUACACCCUAAAAUGAAGCAUGGUUAACUUCGCGCAGUCAAAAACACAACACGAACCACGUUACGGCGUGAAAACGCCGCGUGCCAAAGCUUAAACUGUACGAAAUCACAUCCGAUGGUCAACCACGGGUGUAGUUUGUUUAGAGGACCUAAACACAGACGCUUAAUUAAAAAAAAAAUCAGUUUUAAAUGAAAGUUUAACGUCGUGCGCCUUAAAGUAAACAGUUCAUUUUGAUGAGAAGUUAAUUUUAAACGGUUUGCAUGAAUAGUUACUUAUGUUUUAACAGUUAAACGACACGGCUCGAGGUUUUAACACCAAGGAGUGAAUGGAUAAGGGAUGAUUUAAUCAAAACUGCGUUAACAAAUGUUUAGCUACUAAAAAUAAAAUGCGCGCCUCGUUCAGCGCUUAAAGGAUAUUUAGCUUUUACUGUAAUGGAUGCACGUCGAGAUGGCCCGAUCAGUUCAUUUUGCACAUCUGGGGGUUUUACAGCAAACGUUUGAAAGUAAGCGCGUCGUUCGUCCCGAGCUUUACGCGGUUAAAUAGUGACACAAUGUAUCUCGAGGUUUCGUCACAAACACGUUGUCGCGCCAACUAGAAACGUUCUGUCGUAAUAGUUAAAGAGCUUAAAGAUUUUUCUAAGAGCUGCUAAACACCAGAGACACGCAGAGCCCUUCUCUUGUUACAAACGCGCUUACUUCAGUUUUACAGCGUAAAAGUCACGAGACCGAGCGCAUUCGCUUCGACAAACAGGCCAUGCAACAUCGCGGCCAUAGAGGAGGAAGUUGUCUGCUACAUUCCUGAAAUCUUUGUAGUGAACCAAGAACGUCUUAAAAUGGACUUCGAGCCUCUUUUUAAAAUCAACAGACUUAAAACCUGUUGCUCCAUCCGAGAAGAAGCGCGUUACGCGGUUUAGAUGAAGCCUUGCGCGCUUUUCAUUCAUUUAAGCGAACUAAUUUGAAUAGUAAAACUGCGGAAGUCUCACACUCCGGGAAGCCAUUUGGAAACAACUAUUCGCCAAACCAUUAUUUCCUCCAACUCUAAAACCACCUGUUUAAACACAGAAAACAGCACGGCACAUUCCCAGACAGCGUUUAAGAAUGAAGCGACAAACACGUUCAC